rnacentral:lncRNA from 1 species
GAAUUUCUUAAGCAGAUACAAAGGGAGUUUUGAUUACUGGAUCGGCCUGCACAGAGAGUCCUCAGAGCACCCUUGGAAGUGGACAGACAACACUCAGUAUAACUACUCAGCCUCAGAUGGGGAGCCGGGACUCUGAAAUCCCAGAAAGCCACUGCAGAACUGCAAGCCUGAGAUUCUGAUGUCCACUAUUUGCAUGGCUGCACCUGUUCAGGAAAGCAGAGAUUCUAAGGACAUUCGGAACCUCCUCUAAAGUCUCGUCAUCACAGAGCACCCAAAACAGUCCUCGAAUCACAGGCCCAGUCCCAUCCACCGUUAAAGCACCUUUGAGCAAUUUACUAAGAAGUGCGUGUUCCCAUGUGUAAAAUGAAUAAAAACAGAAUUGGAAAAUCACCCUCAGUGAGGUCACUCAUGGCUGCAGUUCAUGGGAACGGGGCAGCAAGCCCCAGUCCAAUGCCUUGUAAACACAUCACAGGAUUCACCACAGACAAAUGACAAAGGAGUGGUGUUCAAACCCUAAGACUGUAAGACAGUAGGUGUAAAGCUAGUGCAGGUGAUUUCCUCAGGGACUCUGAUUCAUAUUACCAGAAAGCAGUGGAGACCGGUGAGAUUUUAUUGUAGGAACGAAUGCACUUCUGGACUCUGCAGACUUACUGUUUUUGGUUUCUUUUCAGGCUUUCCAUCCGGGGAGUGGAAAGAUAUGCCUACCUGAACGACAUCGGGAUCAGCAGUGCCAGGGUCUAUGCAGACAAAAGAUGGAGCUGUAGCAAACUUAACAGCUAUAGCCUCCAAUGCAAAACUCCUUUUUCUCCUAUGUAGCUUUUGAUCAAGAGAGAUGCUUUUUAGUCUGCUAUCUAUGGGUGCUACUCUUUCCCCUGUGGUCCCACCCUGCUACCAAAACAGGUGAAGAAUAUUUCUUAACAUCACAAAUGGAAACCAUCUUGGAGAGCUACAAAUACCUGGAAUUUCGAGAACGUAGAUGAGUUUAAAAUAGAUGUGGUCACACAUACAUUAAGCCUAAAGCGCAACUAAUGUUAGUGAACCCCACUUUCGCGGUAGGAAGGCUUUUUGUGUGCAGACAAGUCCUUCUUUUGAAUUUAUGAGGCCACAAAAAUGAGUCCCGCAAUGUGCAUGUGGCCUUUAACAAUGAAAGCAGAGUGACUGGGAUAGUGACAAGUAUCUGUAAUCCCAGGAUUGCAAGGGUUGAAAUGGGAGGGUCACAGGCUCACUAGUGGAGACUAAAAGCAUGGGAAUGCUUUAACAAGGAAAGGGAAGAUGAGAAUCCAUCUGUAGCAGCCCAUAAUUUGGAGAAACACAUUAUACCUGCUUUUCAAAAUUCAAACCAACAUGCAGAAGAAUUUUAAAAGUGUGAAAAUUUAAGGUUCACUUUAUACUCUGCAAUUUAAAACAUGAGGCAUAUUGGCGAAAUGUUUCUUUACCUUAGUUUGCAAUAUUCCUGUUUCCAACUAUACUGUUCUAAGUAUAAUUAUAAUUACUUAAUUAUUCUGCUCUAAGGAUAAUACAUUUUAUAAACAAAUGUCCUUUUAAUUUUACCAUUUUAUUGGACUUAUUUCCAUCAAAUGUGAGUUAAAUCCCUAAGCAUUUAAUAUUUAAUUUUACACUAGUGUGUACAUUAUUGGGUCUUUAAAAAAUAUUUAAAAUCUUACAGAGUUAGCUACCCCAUACUGAUGAGUCCCAAAAAGGACGAAAUAGCAGACUAAAGAGCAUCUCUUGAUCUCUCUAUCCUUUCUUCUCUCUCUUGUUCUUUUUAAAGACUCUAUACUAACUUGAUAUGUCAAGGGGGAGUUGAUAUCCAUGGGAAGCCUCCAGGAAUCUGAGAAGAAAGGGUAGGGAGAUGGGGGAGGGAGGAGGGAAGGGAAAUUUAAAAGAAUAAAAUGAAAAUACAUUU